rnacentral:pre_miRNA from 2 species
UCUUACGGAUGAGCAAGGAAAGUGGUUUCCUCAAAUGGAAUCUAUUCCUGGUGAAGAGGUUGUGAA